rnacentral:sRNA from 1 species
UUAUAUUGUGAAGAUGCAGUAUUCUAGUCAAUCACAAUUGCUAGGACGACGAAGCAAAUAGCGUCGAAGGGCACAUCGAUGAAGUUUCUGGUGCAAGCUUUGAUUGCCCAAAUUGGGGUUUGUGCUGGAAGUUAAGAUUAUUGGGCAGGUUAUAAUGGCAUAUAGCUGUCGACCCAAUUUUCGCGGAGACCAAACAGGGUGCAAAUUAAAUUUCCACUCUCUUGGUAAGAACCUGCAAUGCGGUAAAAGCCGUGUGCAGAGUAGCCUGCUUUGAGUGAGCAUACUGGGGAUUAGAUUAUAUAUGCGAAUUAAUUUUGGCCAAAGUUGAUUCACAUCUUUCUAUGAAACUAUGUUUGCAAAACAAGCGAAUAGUAAAUGUGGUUGUUAAGGAAAACUUCUAGACUGUUGCUGGGUAGCUAGCAGAAGUAGGAUUAUAGUGUGUUCUGAGUGGCGAUUCGGUGUUAUGUCUUGUUUAAAAGGAAACUGCUUUAACGGUGACGUUAAGUACAAGGCUGGGAAAUCCGACCGAACCUAUGACACAAGGUUUACUAAUUCUGUGGUC